rnacentral:miRNA from 1 species
AAUAGAGAAAGAGAGAGAGAGAGAGAGAGAGAGAGAGAGAGGGCGGCUGUUUGGAGGGGAGGGAGAACUAGAAAAUAUUUCGAUGUACUCUUAUUCUCUCUCUCUCUCUCUCUCUCUCUCUCUCUCUCUGCCUAUGU